GUUUUUAAUGGACACAGCCCACAUACUCAACUCUGCUGCUCAACCCACAAACGCAUUUUCCUUACAAACAUGGCUUCAUUUAAAUAAGCAGGUUUUUCAAGGUGUACGAUUUAUUGGCAAGAAAUAAUCUACCAAAUACAAAUUUCUUUACUUUUUGUGUUUAUAUAUAAAAAUAUACUCUCGUGGACUUAAGUCAGAGUUAUCUUUGACUUGUAAUGCAGCACUUUUUUCAUGGUCAUACUGCAUUUACUUGGGAUGUAAAUCCACAUUUCUCCACAUGAGAUUAAAAAACUCAAUGCUUGAUCCCCAUUUGGCUGGAGCAGGCGGUUCGAUGUAAAGGUGGCUACGCCUGUUGACACUUUAUUUAAAGCCCACCGUGCUGUGUCAUGGAUAUUCAGGAAUCGGACUCCUGUACAUAAUGCAUUGUGUCUAUUGAAGCUGUGUCCUGAUUGCGCUUCUGUUCUGUUCUGUGUAUUGUAUCACCGGUGGUGUUUCAGUGAUAAAGGAUUUUCCAGAGUGCAAUCAAUAAAUCACUACCAACACUACUGCCACUGCCGCUACCACUGCUGCUAAACAGCACCUUGUGAGACCGAGAACAGAAGUGCGACGGCAGCUGUAGUCUGUCUCCUGCUCCUGCUGAGUUUAGGAGGAGUGCUCGCAUUUCUGCUGUGGAGGAGGUACAGGCACAAUAACAGAGGAGAAAGGCUGCACGAGCAUUUAGAUGACACCAUCUAAAAAAAAAAGUGCCUGAGCCACAUUAUGCUGCUCAGGUGUCUCAGAGAGGAGAACAGGAAGAGCACUGGCCUAUGGGGGAGGGCCUUCCUGUCCUGUGAGCACUAUGACCUUUCACUGCACUGAAACAAUGUGAAGAGCGAACCGCUUCUGGACAGAUAAAAAAUAUAUAUAUAAAAAAAGUGGAUAUGUGGAUUGAAGGGCCAGCCUUAUACUGCCUCCCGCUGGGCUUUACCUGAAACUGUUCAAUAAGCAUUCAUUUUGUAACCUUGUGUUAACUAAGCUGUAUGCUUAAAAUAUGAUGUAAAAUAUUGCCUUUAUGCUGAAAUCCCUCUACGUAAUGUGAUGGAAAUCAACAGAUCACAAAGAUUGUUUAAAUUAACGGUGCUUUUUGUUAUUUUAUUUCCUUCAAGCAUGUAUUUUCACAGAUAUGCAACAAGCUUAUCAGCCUUCCAAUAAAGUUUGAAAGCAGGAUUUGGCGUCUUUAUGAAAAAACAAACAACUCUGUGAAUGAAAACUGUAAUCACUGAUGGUCAUGUGAUUAUUAAUUUGAGGAAAAAUAGUAUUUGGUUUGUUUGAAAUACUUGGAGAAGCAAACAUUUGAUCCUCUUUGAUACUUAAUAAAAACUCUACUUGAAUAACA
ensembl:lncRNA